rnacentral:rRNA from 1 species
UACGUAGGGUCCGAGCGUUGUCCGGACUUACUGGGCGUAAAGAGCUCGUAGGUGGUUUGUCGCGUUGUUCGUGAAAACUCACAGCUCAACUGUGGGCGUGCGGGCGAUACGGGCAGACUAGAGUACUGCAGGGGAGACUGGAAUUCCUGGUGUAGCGGUGAAAUGCGCAGAUAUCAGGAGGAACACCGGUGGCGAAGGCGGGUCUCUGGGCCGAUACUGACGCUGAGGAGCGAAAGCGUGGGGAGCGAACAGG